rnacentral:snRNA from 1 species
GUGCUUGCCUCGGCAGCAGAUAUACUAAAGUUGGAACGAUAAAGAGAAGAUUAGCAUGGCCCCUGCGCAAGCAUGACAUGCAAAUUCGUCAAGCGUUCCAUGUUUUU